rfam:Oryza brachyantha chromosome 8, whole genome shotgun sequence.
AAUAAUCAUAUUUUUCGUUUUUUCAUGUCCAACGUUUGACCAUUCGUCUUAUUUGAAAAAUUUGUGAAAAAACCUAAAAUAAUUAGUCACGUAUAAAGUACUAUUCAUAUUUUAUCAUCUAGUAAUAAUAAAAAUAUUAAUCGUAAAAAAAUUUCAAAUAAGACGAAUGGUCAAACUUUAGAUAGAGAAAAAC